rnacentral:rRNA from 1 species
UUUGUUUGCGCAGGAUAGGUGGGAGGCGAUGAAAAUUUUCUUGCGGGAAGAUUGGAGCCGUUGGUGAGAUACCACUCUAACAAUGCUAGGAUUCUAACCCUACACCGUUAUCCGGUUAGGGGACAGUUUCAGGUGGUCAGUUUGACUGGGGCGGUCGCCUCCCAAAAGGUAACGGAGGCGUGCAAAGGUUUCCUCAGGCUGGUCGGAAAUCAGUCGUAGAGUGUAAAGGCAUAAGGAAGCUUGAUUGUGAGACCUACAAGUCGAACAAAGACGAAAGUCGGCCUUAGUGAUCCGACGGUUCCGAGUGGAAGGGCCGUCGCUCAACGGAUAAAAGUUACUCUAGGGAUAACAGGCUGA